GUUGUGGCGUGGUAAUGCGUCUCCCUCCUAAGGAGAAGACUGCGGGUUCGAGUCCCGUACGGAACG
rnacentral:tRNA from 1 species